CCCCUCUCAGGAUCGCACCUGGAGAGUUUCCGGUACUCAACCACUCUUGGCUAGGGGAGGGAGAGUCAAGCAGAGGCCUACUCAUUCCAUUCCUAGCUUGGGCAGUAGCUAGCGAGUGGAAAGCAAUCUGCUACAAGU
rnacentral:snoRNA from 1 species